AAGGCCUUCGGGUUGUAAAGCUCUUUCGGUGGGAACGAAACGGUUACGGCCAAUACCCGUGACUUCUGACGGUACCUGCAGAAGAAGCACCGGCUAACUACGUGC
rnacentral:rRNA from 1 species